rnacentral:rRNA from 1 species
AACGAACGCUGGCGGCGCGCCUAAUACAUGCAAGUCGAGCGAGAAGACGUAGCAAUACGUUUGUAAAGCGGCGAACGGGUGAGGAAUGCAUGGGUAACCUACCCUCGAGUGUGGAAUAACCAGCCGAAAGGUUGGCUAAUACCGCAUACGAUUCCCGGACUUCGGUUUGGGAGGGAAAGCGAUACCGUGGGUAUCGCGCUCUUGGAUGGGCUCAUGUCCUAUCAGCUUGUUGGUGAGGUAAUGGCUCACC